rnacentral:lncRNA from 1 species
CUUACAUUCUCCAAACCCUUUCUUUCAAGUCAUCGUACCCAGUACUUUUACCUCCAAAUAGUGUUGGAAUUCCAGUGUGUCAAUCUUUGUUGCAGCUGUAAACAAGUUUGACUUGUCUCUAGCUUUAAUUAGAGAAAAAUAUAUCUGGGGAAAAAAAGCUCAAAAAAGUAAAACUCAGCUGCAGAUCUAGGUAUAAAAAAGAUGAUGUUUAUAAGGCCAUGGUCGAUAGAAUGCCCUUGAUUCCAACUUGGAUGAUGAUUUGAGUGGAGUCUUACCUGUCAAUAUAGCGAAACUUGCUAUGCUCUAUGAAGAUGAUCCGGAUCCAUAUUUCAAAGGAAAAUAUAACUGGUAUUAUGGUGGAACAUUGUCAGUUCAAAAAAACAAAAAUAUGGAAUUUGUCACAAUCUCAGCUGCAGGGAAAGCCUUAGAUGAACUUCAUAUGAAAACUUUCAAUCCUUGUGAAAAAUUAAAAUGUGAAACAUUCGUACUAUCAGAUCAAAUGAUGAAAGGGUCACCUAUCUAUGAAGUGUCUAAAUUAAGGAAGAAAGUAAGUUAAAUGUUGAUAAUCAAUCUUGUCAAAACUGUAACCUUAGCUGUAAGGGUUUACUGCAAACGUUAAUGAAAGAUCACUAGAUUAUCUUGUAGACAGUUCAGGGGUACAAUUUUUUACAUGCGCCUG